UGGGAAAUAAAUGACUUUCAGCUUUUAUCUUAAAGUUGCACACAGAACGGAUUACUGAUAAACAUAAUGUACAAAACACUGGAUAAUUGUACUGCCACUUUUGAAGUCAUCGUCUCUAACUUUGCUUUUUCAGAAAAUAGAGUCCGAGAUUUACCCUACCUCUGAUGGUUGUGUGUACUUCUGUGACAUUUUAAGAUAUUUUAAGAUUAUGCAACGAGAAAAUAACAGGAGAGUUCAUCCAGAGAUUACACAAGGGAUUUUGCACAGAAUAGAGUUUUACAGAACCCAAGGGCUAACAGAGGGAAAUGGCGUCCAGGAAGACAGGGCGGCCCAUCAAGAGCAAAGCCACAUAACAGAGCCAGAGGCGGCCCCAGAGCUGCCAACACAACUGCCUCUAAAGUCUGCCAAGAAGCCAGAAGCCGCUUGUGGGAAAAUAUCACUUACCCUUAGCAUCUGGGUCCUGUGAUUAUUAUCCAAAGGGAUAGAGUGGUAAGAUAUGAAAUAGAUUCCGUGUACCAGUUGAAUCCUACUAACAGGAGAUUUCGUCUGCUUGGUCUAUGAUCAAUUCUACUGGAG